UACGUAGGGGGCAAGCGUUGUCCGGAUUUACUGGGCGUAAAGCGCGUGUAGGCGGAAGCGAAAGUCCGGUGUGAAAGCCCCCCGCUCAACGGGGGAAGGUCGCUGGAAACUGCGCUUCUUGAGGGCGGCAGAGGGAAGUGGAAUUGCUGGUGUAGCGGUGAAAUGCGUAGAGAUCAGCAGGAACACCCGUGGCGAAGGCGGCUUCCUAGGCCGCGCCUGACGCUGAGACGCGAAAGCGUGGGGAGCGAACGGG
rnacentral:rRNA from 1 species